rfam:Camelus ferus unplaced genomic scaffold scaffold726, whole genome shotgun sequence.
GGCUGCUAGACAGUUUUGCUUGGAUCUCCGGGGCAGCCACGUGGCCAUACGUUCAACGCUCUGCGAUGUCUGUGCCCUGAGCCAGCCAGAAAAUGACUUACGGCCGAAAGCAGGAUUUGAACUACUUCUGCUGCGGGGAGGCCCCUCAGAGUAAACAAUGAGACUUUCUGGGAAAUGUACAUAAGACUAGACUGUCAGGAAAGG